rnacentral:ncRNA from 1 species
CAUAUAUAUAUUAGUGUAUAUAAUUUAUUUAAAUAAUAAAUUAUUUAUUUUGUAGUAAUUAAUAUUAAACAAUUUAAGAAAUUAUGAUUUAGUAAUAUUGAAAUUAAUAACAAAUUUUGUGCCAGCAGUUGCGGUUAUACAAAAAUUGAGUUAAAUUUUAUUAGUUAUUAAUAAAUAAUAUAUAUAUAUAUAAUAAAAAUAUUAGAUUAUUAGGUGAAAUUUUAAUUUAAUUAAAAAUUAUAUAUUUUAUGAUUUAAUAAAUUUUAAAUAAAACUAGGAUUAGAUACCCUAUUAUAAAAUUUUAAAUUUAAAUACUAAAAUAGUAAAUAAUUAUUUAUUGAAACUUAAAUAAUUUGGCGGUAUUUUAGUUCAUUUAGAGGAAUCUGUUUAAUAAUUGAUAAUCCACGAAUAAAUUUACUUAAUUUAUAAUUUUAUAUAUCGUUGUUAAAAAAAUAUUUUUAAAUAUUAUAUAAUAUUUAAAAAUUUUAAUAAAAAAUUAAAUCAGAUCAAGAUGUAGAUUAUAAUUAAGAAUAUAAUGGAUUACAAUAAAUUUAUUUAAAUGAAUUUUAAUUUUUAAUAAUUAAAUGAAAGUGGAUUUAAAUGUAAUUUUAUUUAGUUUAAUAAAAUGAUUUUUAAUUGAAAUAUGUACAUAUUGCCCGUCGCUUUCAUAUAUUAUAUAAAUUGGAAUAAGUCGUAACAAAGUAGAGGUACUGGAAAGUGUUUCUAGAAAGAC